UGCAGCUUGAACAAAGUGUUGCUCCCAGUGUGGAGGAAGAGAAAGUCCAGAUCUAAGAGGAGACGCAGAGAUUCAGGGAGGAGCUGAGCUGCUACUGAACUAUAGAAGAGAGAGGAGCUUCCAUAUUCAGACCAGUUCAAUCUACAAAGCACCAACAUCUCCUGGAUUCAACAUGCUCUCACUGCAUCAGGCUCUAUCUUCUCUACUGCUUCUCUCCACUCUAACAGCAAUCAGCUGUGAAGAACUCACACCGGUCCACAAUGAAGAGUUCAGUGCAGAAGGCAGCUCUGUUACUCUGUGCUAUAACUCCUCCAAAGUGAACCCAGGGGAUUAUUUCUUCUGGUAUCGACAGAAUCCAGGACAAGCACCAGAGUUCCUCCUCUCACACUCUGCUUCAGGAGAAGAAGCUGCUCCAACCUCUGGACUGAAGAUCCAAGUGGAGCAGAACCAAAUCCGAAUGAUCAUCUCCUCUGCUGCAGUGACAGACUCUGCUGUGUACUACUGUGCUGUGAAGCCCACAGUGACAGGAAACUACACAACUCUGUACAAAAACCUGUGGAGCAAACACACAACUCCUCAUCCUCCACUAGAGGGAGUCACUCACUGUUAAACCUCAGUGGUUUGUGAUGAUGU